UUGUUGCCAUAACUCCGAGCUUAUCUGCACUAAGUUUUCUUAAGCGCAACGUUUUUGAAGAUAAGUCAUUUAAGCCAGUGGCAUUGAUCCACAAGGGCAAAGUGGGAAACCUUUUUGCCUCCCGUAUUUGGAAAGGUGUUCCGUGGCGCAACCA
rnacentral:ncRNA from 2 species